rnacentral:rRNA from 1 species
UACGUAGGGUGCAAGCGUUGUCCGGAAUUAUUGGGCGUAAAGAGCUCGUAGGCGGUUUGUCGCGUCUGCUGUGAAAACUCGGGGCUUAACUCCGGGCCUGCAGUGGGUACGGGCAGACUAGAGUGUGGUAGGGGAGACUGGAAUUCCUGGUGUAGCGGUGAAAUGCGCAGAUAUCAGGAGGAACACCGAUGGCGAAGGCAGGUCUCUGGGCCACUACUGACGCUGAGAAGCGAAAGCGUGGGGAGCGAACAGG